rnacentral:rRNA from 1 species
UACGGAGGGGGCUAGCGUUGUUCGGAAUUACUGGGCGUAAAGCGCACGUAGGCGGACUGGAAAGUUGGAGGUGAAAUCCCAGGGCUCAACCUUGGAACUGCCUUCAAAACUAUCAGUCUGGAGUUCGAGAGAGGUGAGUGGAAUUCCGAGUGUAGAGGUGAAAUUCGUAGAUAUUCGGAGGAACACCAGUGGCGAAGGCGGCUCACUGGCUCGAUACUGACGCUGAGGUGCGAAAGUGUGGGGAGCAAACAGG